ensembl:lncRNA
AUGCAAUUAGGCUACCUGGUUUGGACCAGUUUAGGCAGCUUUGACCUUAGUCUCCUCAAGCUGCACAGAGAGAGCGGAUGCUCCUGUAUCUAUUUGCUGCUCCUUUCACCUCUGGACUUCCCCAUCCAAGGACUACCACCUGCGGACACCUUUCUUAUGGACUCCUUUAGUGUGUGCGUCACUUCCCAAACUUCCACACUCUAUCACGCUCUGUCUCCCAUUCUCCUGCAAUGCUGGUGUGUGUUGAGCCUGGCAAUAAACCUGUGUUCUGAGUCAUCUGCCUCUAACCGGGGACCUAGGACAGAUGUUUCUUACACCUUGCACUGGCAACUCUAUGCGUCCACCUCUUACCAGGUGGCGCUCUCUUUCAGUCACAAUGAGACUGCAGCAGUCUAUAUUGUGAAGGAACAGUCUGGGAUGAUGGCUAACUUGAACUGAUUUGAAUGAAGUGAUUUUGGCACAUCUGUGCUGUUAUUUACAUUAGUUUGCUUUCGAGGACAAAAAUGUUGCAAGCUGAAAGAUUAUUAAUAUUCUCUCUUACAAACAUUUAAGUCCAAAAAUCACACACAAAGUGCACAUGAUAUCAUAUGAAACACAGCAUAUGUACAUCUCCAUUUCCCUGUGACCUCAGGACAAGCGGGCUGCAGUUUCAAAGACAUUUUUUACAAGCUUUAUUCUUUGUCUCCUCAAACUCAGAUUCAGAGGUUGCCUAGCAACAGUGACAGUAACAGCUGGGACAGCCUUGAUCUUGUUGCUUAAACCAUUAAAAAUAGGUGAUGGAAGGUGGCACCCAUGGUAACUAAAACAGAGCCACAGUGCUCAGGAGCAGGUGUCUAUGUUGGCACACUUCCAGCCUGAAAGAGAAUCCACCUAACUAAGCCACUCCCCAACUAUUCAUCACAAAUGAUAAACAAACAUGUUUUUACACAUUAUCUGAAUUUUACCUUGCUCAUAGGUGGUAGUCAUGUACAACUAAAUACAGUGGUGUGUUGUGGCUAGGUUUUUCCCCAAAACAUGUUUUCCAAUAUUAUGCAUUCUACAGAAUAACAACCAUUUACAUACGGACUGAUUCUCAAAGUGUAAAACACAGAGUGGACUGUAUAUGGCUUCAAUAAUUCAAAUGACAUUGUGCCCUUGAAACCCAAUUUAGUGACUAAAUCACAGUGCAAACCGCAAAGCCAUAAAAAUCAAGAUGGGAAGGCUGUACGGUAAUUGUAACAUUAUAGAGGUAAUCCAGUGGUCAUAUCUCAAUUACAACAGGAUAUGUAUAGUUAUGAUGCAAGGGCAAAGCCAUGCCAAAAGAAACAGAUCAUUGACGUGCUAUACGUCCGCUUUAUUGACCCAUUAACAUGUAGAGAUGGAUAUGAAUUGUUUGCCUAAAGACAGACAUGCAUUUCCACGUUCAUCAAUCAAUGGCCCAUGAGGGAGCUUCCGGUAUCUCUCUUCUAAGCAAUUCAAAAAGAUUGUGAAUAAUAUCAGUGUGCUUGGCUGAAAGUCAAAGAGAAUUUCUGAGGAGACAGCAGUAAUGUUGAUGACCAAGCAGAGGUUGGUUUUUUUCAGCAGACACUGCUGUGCUCGACAGAUUUAUCCUACAAUCAACUUAUUGUUGAUUGUGCGUGCGUGCUUGCUUGUGUGCGUGCGUGUGUGCGCGGGCAUGUGCACGCAUGUGUGCAUUCGUGCAGGAGCACAAAUAUUUACAUACCUGUGUUGAUGAGGGUGAGAUGUGAGCAUUUGAUUCAUUAGUGGUCAGAUUACAGUAAAAUGCAGUUACAACAUUACAGGCCAAAAUCAACUUGAAACAAAAUAUACAUCAAAACCCAUGUACCUUUGACAUAUUUGAAAUGAUAAACAUGUGGUUACAUGGAUAAGUGUAGUAUAGUGUUCUUGGUACAGCUCGCUCCCUCUAUCCCUUUGCAUGUGGCACUGGCAGAUCUCUAGUUCCUCAUUGAUAUAACACCAUCCCAGGGACAACAUAUGUUGACAGAUUUAGGUUGCUGAGCAGCACCUGGUCAGUCUCUGUGUGUGAGUUGAUACAUGUGGCGGCGCCCACAGUUCCUACUACUCCCUGCUCUACAGGAAGUGCUGCAGGGAACCAAACACAAGGAUGAGCUUCUCUUGUGGCCUGAACGGCCCUGAACGGCCGGCCCUCAAUGGAUCCUCUCAUCCAGCUGUGAGAGAGCCUAUCCCCACAGGCCUGGACAUAAUGCAGUAACCACUCUGUGUGCACGGGCUAUGGCCGCCAACUCAGCAUUCUUAUGCAGAUGGGGGCCAACCGUUUGAAUGGGCAGUGAACCCAGAGUGGGUCCAACACAGUGGGCUCCCAGCAGCAUGGCUUCUUCAUUAAGCUGGUCAAGAAAAUGAACGCUUCACUUUGAUCAUGUACCCAAGUCCCCCCUCCAUUCACCUCAAGCUAUGCAUCAGUACUGUACAUGAAAUGACACACAGUAGUGUAGGUGCUUCAAACAGGGAGCACAGCCUUUAGCCUGUAAAUGUAUUUCAUCUUACAUAUGGAACUGCAUAAC